AGAAAACCCCACUCCUUAAAGGCACCACUGAAAGCAUUCAUAAUAUGCGACCGACACCACUGCCAUGCUGUAAAAUGAUAUUUUCUACCAACGGUGUAGCCAGCG